rnacentral:tRNA from 1 species
GCCCGGCUAGCGCAAUGGUAGCGCGUAAGACUUCUAAUCUUAAGGCUGUGGGUUCGAGUCCCACGUCGGGCU